rnacentral:rRNA from 1 species
AACGAACGCUGGCGGCAUGCCUAACACAUGCAAGUCGAACGAGACCUUCGGGUCUAGUGGCGUACGGGUGCGUAACGCGUGGGAACCUGCCCUUAGGUUCGGAAUAACUCCCCGGAAGGGGUGCCAAUACCGGAUAAUGUCUCCGGACCAAAGAUUUAUCGCCUUUGGAUGGGCCCGCGUUGGAUUCGCUAGUUGGUAGGGUAAAAGCCUACCAAGGCGACGAUCCAUAGCUGGUCUGAGAGGAUGAUCAGCCACACUGGGACUGAGACACGGCCCAGAAUCCUACGGGAGGCAGCAGUGGGGAAUCUUGGACAAUGGGCGAAAGCAUGAUCCAGCACUGCCGCGUGAGUGAUGAAGGCCUUAGGGUUGUAAAGCUCUUUUACCCGGGAUGAUAAUGACAUUACCGGGAGAAUAAGCUCCGGCUAACUCCGUG